rnacentral:lncRNA from 1 species
UAUAUAAAUAAAGUAUUCAAUCAAGAAACUGCUGUAUUAAUUUAGGGAAAUGAUUGAUUGAUAGUCUCAUAAGUCAAAUUUUCAUCACAUAAUUUUAAGCUCCAUUCUUUUCCAUAUACAGAAAACUACCCGUGGGGAAGAAACUGGUGAAAUGGGAUCCCUCCUCUACCAAAUUCUGCCUUCUAGAGCUAGAUAGAUAGAUAGGGAAUUUUGCUUCUCUCCAAAUUUCAAGUUUGGUUAAGUUCUUGGAACUCAAAGUGUGAAAAUUUUAUGAAGUAAAAUUAUUUAACUCUGUGUAUAUUAGGUUAAAUAAAAAUAAAACUUAAAAAGACAAGCUUAGGGUGCUGCAUUGGCUUGUUGCAUCUACCUUCUAAACUUUACCCUGAAGGCUGCUGGAAAAAAAGUAAGUUAUGCUGAGUCCAAGUUUCC